rnacentral:rRNA from 1 species
CCUACGGGGGGCAGCAGUGGGGAAUAUUGGGCAAUGGGCGCAAGCCUGACCCAGCAACGCCGCGUGAAGGAAGAAGGCUUUCGGGUUGUAAACUUCUUUUAAGAGGGAAGAGUAGAAGACGGUACCUCUUGAAUAAGCCACGGCUAACUACGUGCCAGCAGCCGCGGUAAUACGUAGGUGGCAAGCGUUGUCCGGAAUUACUGGGUGUAAAGGGAGCGUAGGCGGGAAAGCAAGUUGAAUGUUUAAGGUACGGGCUCAACCUGUACAAGCGUUCAAAACUGUUUUUCUUGAGUGGAGUAGAGGUA